ensembl:lincRNA Gm13025 predicted gene 13025
AUCUCAGUACAGGAAAGAUGGAGCCAGGAAGAUCAUGAUUGCAAGGCCAACCUGAGCUACAGAGUGAGACCACCAGAAAGAGGAAGAAACGUCCCGUUGGUAGGACUUGAGCAGCCACGGUUUCCCUUUCCCUCCUGUUCCGGGUUUGUGCCUGGAGAGGUCAAGGAGCUUGCCUGAGGUCACACAGAAUUCUACACCUGGCAAGAUCCAGCCGUGUUCAUGCAUGUGCAAGUGUGUACCCGUGCAGGUUAGAAGCGGACAUCAUCAGGCGUCUUCCUCAAUGACUCUCAGCCUCAUUUAGGGGUUUCUCUAUACAGCCCUGGCUGUCCUGGAACUCACUCUGUAGACCAGGCUGGCCUGGAACUCAGAAAUCCGCCUGCUUCUGCCUCCUGAGUGCUGAGAUUAAAGGCCUGCGCCACCACACCCAGCUUUAGGUAUUUUUUUUUAAUGGCAUGUUUCUUCAUUAACCAAGACAUCACUGACAGGUUCUUCCCUCUACCGUCCCACAGGGAGCCUGGUAAUUCCCACAGACUUCAGGCCCCGCCCCAGAACAAUGAGGUCUCUGGGCCCCCAGCAGAUAGGAAACACAUGGCCACACAGUCUGUUAGAUUGUCAGGAUCAAAGCAGAACAUCUGGUUCUGACCACCUACCCCCAGAGGGGCCCCAGCCGGAGCCCCAGCUCCUGUACCACAGUGGAAGGUCAUUUUUUCCAGCCGUUUCGUGGUUCUCCAUCAGGGAGGGAGGGGGGCUGUGAUUGCCCCCCACAGAACAUCUGUCAAUGUCAGGAGAUAUUUUCGGGUUUUCCAGCUGAAAGGAAGGAGGAACUGCUGACAUCUGUGAGGUGGGGGCCCCCCCGGGGCUAGCGCUGAGCCAGCUGCGGUUGCUCAUGUCAAACAGCAGCUCUGCCCAAACUGAUCUGGGGAAACUGAGGGGGUCCCUCCUGGGGUUCCUAGCUUCAUUAAUAAACGGAUUUAAGAAUGAAC